rnacentral:tRNA from 1 species
CGGAGGUAGCCAAGUGGAUCAAGGCAG